GUCCUUAAACAAAAACUUUACGUAUGUAUUGAAAAAUUCAGAAGUAGCACGAUUAAUGAGACACUUUUAUGGAACUACCCAGUUUUCCUAAAAGAAAAUAUGCAGGAUAAGUUAUCAGGAAGCUUCUAUCAGUUUUAAGUUAAUUAGUAAUUCUUCAUAGAGAAGGAUGCUGUAAAACAGGCUCAAAAUCCAUGAUCCUUGACUCUCCUAUGGUAGCAGAAAGGAGGGUUCAUUCUGCUGCUGGCAGAGUCUGGAAGAAAGAGUGUUUUAUCCCAGUUGGCUCCAGGAUGUCCUUUGUGGAAGUCGUGCUCUGUGUCCUGUUCCUGGCCAGCGGAUCCCUGGGUGAACAAGGAGCUCCAAAACCCAACUGCACUGGAGUGGAGGACUUUGAGGCCUGCCUGGGUAACACAACUGAGUUCUGUCCCAGCAAUAUUUCUUGUCUGUGUAAAAAUGAAGAACCUUUCUGCAGUUGUAAUUACUUCAGAGUGGGCUGGAAGGACUACUGGUACAUGGGCCCCAAAUGUAACCACCUUUGGAACACUCUAGAUUUCAUUUUAGUUGCUACUGUUCCUGCACUAACACUGGUUCUCAUCGUGACUGUAAUAUUUUCAUCUCUCUACUGCUGUAAAAGUGAAAAAACUGGCAGGAAGCAGCUAAACUCUCCCUACCGUGAGGCUCAGCACAACCCUGCCUUCAGUGCUGACUCCCCUGUUCCCCAGGGGCACAGGCACCCACAGCCACCCAGGGAUCUGGAUAGCUGGAGUGGACAAAUUCCAAAAGCUUCACUGAGAAGACAAGAUUUUGAUGAUGUCUCAAUCCCAAGCCAAAGAGGGACUUACGUUCCUGUGUAUCCCCAGCCCCUGAGGACACCAGACCCAGCCCCAAACCGUUUCUCUCAGCCCAGGCCCCAGCAGGAAGGAUUUGACUAUCCCAGCAGGAAUUUGCCUUAUGCUGAUUAUGCAGGGGGGAGACAGUAUCAGAAAUACUAAGAACAAGUGCUUCCUAUAUCAGAAAUAUCUUGGAAUGCUGCUGAUCACCAGGUAAUCCAGAUGCUGAAAGGGCAGUGAGACCCUGUGGAUUGGGACACAGAGGAAAUGGCCAUCACUUUCAUUAGAAAGCACUAAAAGUUAUUGCAAAGAAAAGCCUCGGGAAGUGCCACAAUCUGACAAACUGUGGUUGUUGUUGACCUCGAUCCAGCUGUUUUAUCAACCUCAGAGUGACCACAGGAUUCAAGAGUGUUCAGUUUGAUAUUCCACCACUGCUUUGAAAAGGAAUAGGAGGAAGAGAUAAGGCAAUGCUGUCACAUAUCCAUGGUGCUCCUCAGCUCCCACUGCCGUGCUGGGUCCGUGACAGGAGCUCAGGUGAUCCCACCCCCACAGCUCUGCCCCCGUGGAGACCCCUGGACAUGGUGGAGGUACCCAGCAGUCACAGAAUAGUGGGGUUGGAAGGGACCUCUGGAGAUCAUCCAGUCCAAGCCAUCCCUACCAAGGCAGGGUCACCCCGAGCAGGUGACACAGGAACAUCUCCAGGUGGGUUUGGAAUGUCCCCAGAGAGGGAGACUCCACACCUGCCCUGGGCAGCUGUUCCAGUGCUCUGCCACCCUUGUGGGAAGAAGUUCUUCCUCAUGUUGAGGUGUAACUUACUGUGUU